rnacentral:misc_RNA from 1 species
AAUGUCUGUCUUAGAUUGCCCCCCUGUGGCAAUGCCCC